rnacentral:rRNA from 1 species
GACGAACGCUGGCGGCGUGCUUAACACAUGCAAGUCGAACGGAAAGGCCCUGCUUUUGUGGCGUGCUCGAUUGGCGAACGGGUGAGUAACACGUGAGUAACCUGCACUUGACUUUGGGAUAACUUCAGGAAACUGGGGCUAAUACCGGAUAGGAGCUCCUGCUGCAUGGGGGGGGUUGGAAAGUGUCGGCGGUUGGGGAUGGACUCGCGGCUUAUCAGCUUGUUUGUGGGGUAGUGGCUUACCAAGGCUUUGACGGGUAGCCGGCCUGAGAGGGUGACCGGCCACAUUGGGACUGAGAUACGGCCCAGACUCCUACGGGCGGCAGCAGUGGGGAAUAUUGCACAAUGGGCGGAAGCCUGAUGCAGCAACGCCGCGUGCGGGAUGACGGCCUUCUGGUUGUAAACCGCUUUCGCCUGUGACGAAGCGUGAGUGACGGUAAUGGGUAAAGAAGCACCGGCUAACUACGUG